rnacentral:misc_RNA from 1 species
GAUGAAGAACGCAGUGAAAUGCGAUACUUGGUGUGAAUUGCAGAAUCUCGUGAACCAUCGAGUCUUUGAACGCAAGUUGCGCCCGAAGCCAUCAGGUUGAGGGCACGUCUGCCUGGGCGUCACAUAUCGUUGCCCAAUGCCUAUUGCAGUGCAAUAGGAAUUUCUAGGGCGAAUGAUGGCUUCCCGUGAGCGUUGUUGCCUCGCGGUUGGUUGAAAAUCGAGUCCUUGGUAGGGUGUGCCAUGGUAGAUGGUGGUCGAGUUAGAACGAUACCGAUCAUGUGCAUGCUCCCCAAAAUAUGGCCUCUAUGACCCACACGCGUCUUUUGACGCUCAUGACGAGACCUCAGGUCAGGCGGGGCUACCCGCUGAAUUUAAGCAUAUCAAUAAGCGGAGGA